GCUUCCCCCACUGAAUGAAAUAAAUGGACUCAGGAAGGAAUAAAACCCAAGGUGUCCUCUUCACCAGCAUCAUUCAGAACCACCUCACUCCUCAGGGGCCACAGAAGUGCUGAAUAAAAUGAAAAGACACACGAUCCAGAUGGUGACCCUGUAAAGCCACCACCUGCUUGCAAGCCUGUCUCUGUGCUUCUGCUGAGAAACAGAAUGCCAUUUCCCUUAGUGCCUGUCUUGUAAAUAAUCACCGCUCCCCAACCAGCCAUUCCCCAAAUGACAAGAACCAUCCUGUGGCCUUCUCCGCUCCCCAGCCUGGCCUGGCCUCAUUGUGCCUUGGAACUCUGUCCUCCUGCCUCACUCAAAAGGUACAUGAUUUGUAUCUUACUCCCACAACAGCGUGAUCCGAUGUCACCACAGGCGGGGACUUUUAAUGGGUAGGACAAUCUCCGAAGACUUUUUAUUUAAAAAAAAUAAUUUUCAGCAGUGAAAUAGUUGUUUCACUGGGAAGAAGGUCCACUCUGCUGCUCAUACCACCAUCCUGGAAGUCAAUCUGAUUGAGUUUUAUAAGAAAAGAAAAGUCAUGGAUACCUUGAAGUCAACAGCACUCAAAGAAUCAUAGUGCAUGACAUCAGACUGUCAAUGUGGGAAGUGAAAACACGUAAUGGGAAAGUCUCAUUGUUGACAGUUUUUCUAUUGGUGUCAUAUGCCAGUGCUCUCUUUCAUAAACUUGGUGCACCCAGCAGAAGAAAACAAUAUCACUGAAAUGCAGCUAAGAGUUGAUCCAGAAUUCUCUCCUGCUUUGGAAAUGAAAUCCUUGAUACCUAACUAUGAAAUUUAGCCAUACUGAUUAAAAGCACCUGCUAGAGGCUGCAGAGAAUAAAGCAAACAAUUACACUUAAACAUCUCAGAAUCUGACUCUUAGACCUUUGAAGCCCAAAAGCCUAGCAAACCCACUUUAAAAUCUCACAUUGAAAAAUCACAUGUAAUAAAUAUAUAUAUACCUUUCAAUGGAAGCUCUCUGAGGCAACAAUAAAAGGCCCAUAUACAAAAAGGUAAAAAUCUUUUAGAAAAAAAAAUUGGUAAGCAAGUAACUUAAACAUCAGGCAGAAAAUGCAAAGUUAGGCCAUUUGGAAGCUUAUAAUUCCAAAUAAUAAUUUGGAAGCUUAUAAUUCCAAAGUUAGGCCAUUUGGAAGCAAAGUUAGGCCAUUUGGAAGCUUAAUGUCGAAAUUUCAAAAUCAAUUUUUUACUUCAAG
rnacentral:lncRNA from 10 species